rnacentral:rRNA from 1 species
AGGGAAUCUUCGGCAAUGGGGGCAACCCUGACCGAGCAACGCCGCGUGAGUGAAGAAGGUUUUCGGAUCGUAAAGCUCUGUUGUAAGUCAAGAACGGGUGUGAGAGUGGAAAGUUCACACUGUGACGGUAGCUUACCAGAAAGGGACGGCUAACUACGUGCCAGCAGCCGCGGUAAUACGUAGGUCCCGAGCGUUGUCCGGAUUUAUUGGGCGUAAAGCGAGCGCAGGCGGUUUGAUAAGUCUGAAGUUAAAGGCUGUGGCUCAACCAUAGUUCGCUUUGGAAACUGUCAAACUUGAGUGCAGAAGGGGAGAGUGGAAUUCCAUGUGUAGCGGUGAAAUGCGUAGAUAUAUGGAGGAACACCGGUGGCGAAAGCGGCUCUCUGGUCUGUAACUGACGCUGAGGCUCGAAAGCGUGGGGAGCGAACAGGAUUAGAUACCCUGGUAGUCCACGCCGUAAACGAUGAGUGCUAGGUGUU